rnacentral:rRNA from 1 species
UACGGAGGGGGCUAGCGUUGUUCGGAAUUACUGGGCGUAAAGCGCACGUAGGCGGUUUUGCUAGUCAGGGGUGAAAUCCCGGGGCUCAACCUCGUAACUGCCUUUGAUACUGCAAGUCUCGAGUCCGAGAGAGGUGAGUGGAAUUCCUAGUGUAGAGGUGAAAUUCGUAGAUAUUAGGAAGAACACCAGUGGCGAAUGCGGCUCACUGGCUCGGCACUGACGCUGAGGUGCGAAAGCGAGGGGAGCAAACAGG